rnacentral:rRNA from 1 species
AUUGGACGCUGGCGGCAUGCCUUACACAUGCAAGUCGAACGGCAGCACGGGUGCUUGCACCUGGUGGCGAGUGGCGAACGGGUGAGUAAUACAUCGGAACGUACCUUAUCGUGGGGGAUAACGCAGCGAAAGCUGUGCUAAUACCGCAUACGCCCUGAGGGGGAAAGCGGGGGAUCGCAAGACCUCGCGCGAUUAGAGCGGCCGAUGCCUGAUUAGCUUGUUGGUGGGGUAAAAGCCCCCCAAGGCGACGAUCAGUAGCUGGUCUGAGAGGACGAUCAGCCACACUGGGACUGAGACACGGCCCAGACUCCUACGGGAGGCAGCAGUGGGGAAUUUUGGACAAUGGGGGCAACCCUGAUCCAGCAAUGCCGCGUGAGUGAAGAAGGCCUUCGGGUUGUAAAGCUCUUUUGUCAGGGAAGAAACACCGGCUCUAACACAGUCCGGGAAUGACGGUACCUGAAGAAUAAGCACCGGCUAACUACGUGCCAGCCGCCGCGGUAA